AUAGAAACGAAAAUUCUUUUUCUCCCGUUCUCCCCAACCCGCGAUAUUUCCCCCAAAAUUUUCCCUAAAACCAGCGCACCCCCCAAAGAAAUCUCCCCAGCCCUCGAAUCUUCCUCAACCAAGUCCGACUGCGACUGCCUGCCAACGCGCCUCUCGUCCAACAACACUCUCGCUCCUCCGCCUCAUCUUCGUCCGGGGCUCGCUGAUCAUAUUUGCCGCGGGCCAACAUAGCCCCUCCACCUCCCUCAUCUUCGUCGGGGAUCUUGCUCCUUCGCCUCCUCCUCCAUCGCCUUUCGAUUCCACCGCAUCCUCCUCCACCGUCUCCACCACCUCAUCCUCAAGUUGCCCCAAUAUCCUCUGUAAAUUAGUACUAUCUCCUCUCUACAAAACCCUAAACCUAAUUUAUUUGACCAUCUAACCCAAUUUCCCUAUUUACUGCAAAUUAAUUGACUUCUCGACGUUGCCUUCUCUUCCUCAGUCAUCCUCUUUCUCCAGUAGACUUAUUUAAGAUUCAGGAGAUUUAUCUUGACAUACAACUCCUCCCUGCUCAAAUUUGCUUCAUAAAGAAAGGUCAAAUCAUUGAGGAUGGUGGCACACCUAUAAUGUUGAAACUAUAUUUGGGUACCCACUCGCCAUCAGUAGAUAACACCGGAGAGUAUACAUACCCGGACAACAGCACUAAGGAGUAUUGCGUCAUUUGAAGCUUAGCAAAAAGUUUUGCUCGACGACAGAUGAGGAAAAGAGUGAGAUGGAGAAUAUUCCUUACUCUUCAGCUGUGGCGAGUUUGAUGUAUUUCAUGGUUUACACUCAGCCAGAUGUAGCUCAUGCAAUUGGCGUUGUGAGCAGGUUUCUUUCUAAUCCAGAGAAAGUUCAUUUGGAAGAUGUAAAGUAGAUCUUAAAAUAUUUGAAAAGCAGUUCUAGAUUGUGUUUGAGUUUUGGAGGUUCGAAGUGGUUUUGCAGAUGCAGAUAUGGCAGGUGAUCUCGAUCACAGGAAGUCUACCUCAUGUUGGUUGUUCACUUUUACAGGGGGGAUAAGGCAUUAUUAUAAUUGUCAUAUUUUUUCAUGCUUAUAGUCGCAACAUUUUCUUUCCUUUUCUCCUUUUCAUCUUGUUUUUCUUUUCUGUUCUCUUAUCAAUUACUAUAUAAUUAAAGACAAACCUU